GGCGCGGUGGCCAAGUGGUAAGGCGUCUGUCUCGUAAACAGAAGACCGAGGGUUCGAAUCCCUCUCGCGCCU
rnacentral:tRNA from 1 species